AUUGAACGCUGGCGGCAGGCCUAACACAUGCAAGUCGAGCGAGCGGCGGACGGGUGAGUAAUGUAUGGGGAUCUGCCCGAUAGAGGGGGAUAACUACUGGAAACGGUGGCUAAUACCGCAUACUAUCGGAUGAACCCAUAUGGGAUUAGCUAGUAGGAGGGGUAAAGGCUCACCUAGGCGACGAUCGCUAGCUGGUCUGAGAGGAUGAUCAGCCACACGGGAACUGAGAUACGGUCCAGACUCCUACGGGAGGCAGCAGUGGGAAAUAUUGCACAAUGGGCGAAAGCCUGAUGCAGCCCUGCCGCGUGUAUGAAGAAGGCCUUAGGGUUGUAAAGUACUUUCAGCGGGGAGGCGGUACCCGAAGAAGAAGCACCGGCUAACUCCGUGCCAGCAGCCGCGGUAAUUC
rnacentral:rRNA from 1 species